UACGUAGGGCGCAAGCGUUGUCCGGAAUUAUUGGGCGUAAAGCGCUUGUAGGCGGCUUUUCAAGUCUCGUGUGAAAUCCCCAGGCUUAACCUGGGAAGUGCGCGGGAAACUGGAGAGCUUGAGUGCCGGAGAGGGUCGCGGAAUUCCCGGUGUAGAGGUGAAAUUCGUAGAUAUCGGGAGGAACACCAGUGGCGAAGGCGGCGACCUGGACGGACACUGACGCUGAGACGCGAAAGCGUGGGGAGCAAACAGG
rnacentral:rRNA from 1 species